UUAUAAAGGGUGGUUAUCAGGUCCAAUGCCUCAUUAUACAGAGACUUGGCUGUCAGCACUGCACCACUGGAGGGUCUACCACGUGUUCUAAAUUGGUUAGACAUUAUUCCCAUUUGAAUUGCCUUCACUCCUGAGUCUCUGAGUGUCAGGUUCAAGCUGCUGACCGACGAGGUUCCUUAUGCUUGCGAACCAGUUAGAUUCUAUACACAUAUGAAUCUUCCCCAUAUUCGAAUAUCUGAAUGUCAGACUCAAGCUGAUGAUAUAUGAGGUAUGGUCCCCGCUGUAUCAAUCAAGUCCCAUUGAAAUAUUAAAACGUUGUUCAUACAUCUUUGAAUGACCUUUUAUGUGCUGACAAUAUGUUCUGAAAUGAAGAGAUUUUACCCCUGAUGAAGUCUUGGAACAAGACGAAACGCGUUGGGUUAUUUAUCUAUCUAUUAUCUGAUGUUACCUCCGAAUCUACAAUAAGGAGAAGGAGGAAAUCGUAGUGAUAUAUCUACGCUUUUUCCUCAUCACUACAAACUGAUUGUUCAAAUUGUGCGACAAAUGUAAAUGUAUCAACUCUGUAUACUUAUGAACAUUUGUGUCGGGUUUAUAUGUUGUUUUAAUCAAUUUUUAUGUUAGUAUUUGUUAUCUGAUGUAAUUUAUCCGGAGAGUACUGUAAGGGUCCGUUUUUAGGUAGGGCGUUGAUAUAACUCCCUUGGCGCCAUCUCCUCUAUUUCGUUUCAUAUUUCCACAUUUAGUUCCUCCUAACAGGGAACUUAGAGGAUACAGGCAGCCAUAUAAUUAAUUAAUUUUAGUGUUUUAUUUGAAAUAGCGCAGUGGGAGAGUAAUUCUUGUCAUAUAUAUAUAUAUACACACACACACCUUGUAUGGACACAUACAUUGUAACAUAGACUUAAGAGCCUGAUAGUGUCCAGCAGACAUUAAAAUAACUUAUACCCCCUUACACAGACUUAAUAGCCUGAACUGCUUGUUGCAUUAAAAUGCAGCUUAGUUUUGGGGCCUCCCGCUAUCUUCUAUAGGGCAUUCCUCUCCCCGCGAUCUCCCCCUGCAGUGUCGGUCUGCAGCAGCAGUGAGAGCUGUCCGUGGUCAGCUUGCCCCCUCUCCCCCUUAAAUUAUACAGAUGAUUAGCGUUAGCAGAAGCUAACCGCGGGAAGGAGAAGGGAUGUGGAGCCGGAGACUGAGGAGCGGAUCAAUGAUCGUGUGCAGGCCGCGGCAGCAGGGCUGUCCGCGGUCAGCUUGCCCGCUCUCCCUCUUCAGAGCCGCUGGAGCGUUAUCAGAAGCUAACCGCGGGAGGGAGGAGGGAUGUGGAGCCGGAGUGUGCGGGCCGCGGCAGCAGGGAGAGCUGUCCGCGGCGGAGUAGGGGAUCUGAGAGCCGGAGAGCGGCGAGCGUCUCUGCGGCAGUGCUAGGAGACUGAUCGCUGGCUCCGUGCGGCAAGCGCCCAGCGGCGGCACGGCUGGGCCGGGAGGCACAUCACAUGUUUAAACACCUCCCUGCCCACAGUGGCCGGCGGGUAUGCGGGGCGGCUGGGGAGUGGCGGCGGCUGCUGUGCAAUCCGCAGCUGGCAGCAGGGGAACUCAGUUAAAUAAAUAUACAGUCCCCACAUAGCCAUCACCCCCAGCAAUACAAAGCAAGUGAGCGGCGGCAGUGUGAGCUGCCUAACCGCACAUUACCUGACCAUUAGUGGAGGCUAUGACGGGACUUCUGUUCUAAGCUCUGUCCAGCUCCUUUAUGCAUUUUCAGGCUGCAAUCAGCUCUGCUGCUUGUGGUCUAUGGCGGGGCCCCUCUCAUGAGUACCGACAAGCCAUCUGCUGCACUUCUGCAGCACCAACAAUCCCGGACCCAAGCUUCUUUAUAAGAUGGGAAGGGAUUGAGGAGAAAAAAUUAAAAAUAAAAUCUUGAAAUUGAAGAAUCUGUGGAAUUUCGUCCACUUGUACCUUCCCGACUGAGGCACAGAAAAAUACUGAAGUCUCUAUGGGAGUAUGGAGGGGGUGGAGAGUUACUAAUUUAAAUAUUUUAAUGUGCCUAUCCCGGCUACGCCCCAUCCAUAUCCCAAGAGUACUCCAGUGACCCCCAGUGGAUGAAAAAGAAAUAUAAACUCAUGACGACCUUUUUCCAUGUCGACCUUAUGAUCCACACCCAAAUAAUUGUUAGAAUUAACCUUAAAUUACAUCAGAUUUUUUAUCUCAUUAAUAAAGUUAAUUUUUGUUGCCUAA